rnacentral:rRNA from 1 species
CCUACGGGUGGCUGCAGUGGGGAAUAUUGGACAAUGGGCGCAAGCCUGAUCCAGCAAUGCCGCGUGUGUGAAGAAGGCCUGCGGGUUGUAAAGCACUUUGAGUGGGGAAGAAGGCCUGGGGGUUAAUAGCUUCUGGGAUUGACGUUACCCACAGAACAAGCACCGGCUAACUCCGUGCCAGCAGCCGCGGUAAUACGGAGGGUGCGAGCGUUAAUCGGAAUAAUCGGGCUGAUGUGACGCGUAGGCGGUUAACCUGGGAACUGCAUUUGAGACUGUUUGACUGGAGUGUGGUAGAGGGGUGUGGAAUUUCCGGUGUAGCAGUGAAAUGCGUAGAGAUCGGAAGGAACACCAGUGGCGAAGGCGGCACCCUGGACCGACACUGACGCUGAGGUGCGAAAGCGUGGGGAGCAAACAGGAUUAGAUACCCCAGUAGUC